GACGGAAGGUGCAAGCGUUGCUCGGAAUCACUGGGCGUAAAGGGUGCGUAGGCGGCCUGGUAAGUCUGGCGUGAAAGCCCAGGGCUCAGCCCUGGAAGUGCGCUAGAGACUGCGAGGCUCGAGUGCCGGAGGGGAGAGUGGAAUUCCUGGUGUAGCGGUGAAAUGCGUAGAUAUCAGGAGGAAUACCGGUGGCGAAGGCGGCUCUCUGGGACGGUACUGACGCUGAGACGCGAAAGCGUGGGGAGCGAACAGG
rnacentral:rRNA from 1 species